rnacentral:rRNA from 1 species
GGUGAACGCUGGCGGUAGGCCUAACACAUGCAAGUCGAACGGCAGCACAGUAAGAGCUUGCUCUUACGGGUGGCGAGUGGCGGACGGGUGCGGAAUACAUCGGAAUCUACUUUUUCGUGGGGGAUAACGUAGGGAAACUUACGCUAAUACCGCAUACGACCUACGGGUGAAAGCAGGGGAUCUUCGGACCUUGCGCGAUUGAAUGAGCCGAUGUCGGAUUAGCUAGUUGGCGGGGUAAAGGCCCACCAAGGCGACGAUCCGUAGCUGGUCUGAGAGGAUGAUCAGCCACACUGGAACUGAGACACGGUCCAGACUCCUACGGGAGGCAGCAGUGGGGAAUAUUGGACAAUGGGCGCAAGCCUGAUCCAGCUAUACCGCGUGGGUGAAGAGGGCCUUCGGGUUGUAAAGCCCUUUUGUUGGGAAAGAAAAGCAGCAGGUUAAUACCCCGCUGUUCUGACGGUACCCAAAGAAUAAGCACCGGCUAACUUCGUG